rnacentral:rRNA from 1 species
UACGUAGGGGGCUAGCGUUGUCCGGAAUCAUUGGGCGUAAAGAGCGUGUAGGCGGUUCCGGUAAGUCCGCUGUGAAAGUCGGGGGCUCAACCCUCGAAUGCCGGUGGAUACGUGUCGGGCUUAGAGUGCGGAAGAGGCGAAGUGGAACUUCCUGGUGUAGCGGUGAAAUGCGCAGAUAUCAGGAGGAACAGCCUAUUGCGAAGGCAGCUCGCUGGGACGUUACUGGACGCUGAGACGCGAAAGCCGUGGGGAGCAAACAGG